rnacentral:rRNA from 1 species
GACGAACGCUGGCGGCAUGCCUAAUACAUGCAAGUCGAGCGAACAGAUGAAGUGCUUGCACUUCUGACGUUAGCGGCGAACGGGUGAGUAACACGUAAGGAAUCUACCUAUAAGCGGGGGAUAACAUUCGGAAACGGGUGCUAAUACCGCAUAAUAUCUUCUUCCGCAUGGAAGAAGAUUGAAAGACGGCUCUGCUGUCACUUAUAGAUGACCUUGCGGUGCAUUAGUUAGUUGGUGGGGUAAUGGCCUACCAAGACGAUGAUGCAUAGCCGACGUGAGAGGGUGAUCGGCCACAUUGGAACUGAGACACGGCCCAAACUCCUACGGGAGGCAGCAGUAGGGAAUCUUCCGCAAUGGGCGAAAGCCUGACGGAGCAAUGCCGCGUGAGUGAAGAAGGCCUUCGGGUCGUAAAACUCUGUUAUAAGAGAAGAACAAAUUGUAGGGUAACUGCUACAGUCUUGACGGUAUCUUAUCAGAAAGCCACGGCUAACUACGUGCCAGCAGCCGCGGUAA